rnacentral:rRNA from 1 species
GACGAACGCUGGCGGCGUGCUUAACACAUGCCAGUCGAACGAAGAGCGAUGGAAGCUUGCUUCUAUCAAUCUUAGUGGCGAACGGGUGAGUAACGCGUAAUCAACCUGCCCUUCAGAGGGGGACAACAGUUGGAAACGACUGCUAAUACCGCAUACGAUCUAAUCUCGGCAUCGAGGAUAGAUGAAAGGUGGCCUCUACAUGUAAGCUAUCACUGAAGGAGGGGAUUGCGUCUGAUUAGCUAGUUGGAGGGGUAACGGCCCACCAAGGCGAUGAUCAGUAGCCGGUCUGAGAGGAUGAACGGCCACAUUGGGACUGAGACACGGCCCAGACGCCUACGGGAGGCAGCAGUGGGGAAUCUUCCGCAAUGGACGAAAGUCUGACGGAGCAACGCCGCGUGAGUGAUGACGGCCUUCGGGUUGUAAAGCUCUGUUAAUCGGGACGAAAGGCCUUCUUGCGAAUAGUGAGAAGGAUUGACGGUACCGGAAUAGAAAGCCACGGCUAACUACGUG